AAAGAAAGAAAGAAAGAAAGAAUAAGAAAUGAACGAGGAAACACAAGUGACAUGUUCAUACUCACCAGGCAGCGGCUCGGUCGUCUGGCAGCAGCCACUGUCAGAGAUCCAGCUGUGAUGUACUGAAACACACAAGCACAAACUGAUCAUAGAAUCAGUGAUGGAGGCAUCACUGAUUUUCUCUGUGGACUUUGGUGUGGGAGAGUGAGUGGUGUUGGACGUUGCUCUCUGCGUUGACAGAGCGCCUGUGGUUGGCCCUUGAUGAACCUCCGGACGCCCACCAAGUUGUGCUGCUGUGCGUUUUCAGCAGCGUUAGCAGGGUGGACGUGGGUGACGACCACUGUGUUUCCCCGUGUCAUGGACACAGUGGACGGCAUGGCUGAGACACGAUGAUCCUGUGGCGUGAAGUGAAGCUUCCUGCUGAGGCAGAUUAGGAGGGCCCAGCCUACGUGUCUGAUCAGCCCGGUGUGGGUGUGGGCAGCCCGGUCACACCUGGGCAGAGUGCCGCCUCAUGGAGAUGGGGCAAGUGGUUCGGGUUGCUGGGCCACCAGCUCCCUUUCCCCGGUUUUCACACAAAUUCACCCUCUGGUCGGACCAUGCCCCGCUCCAAUGGCUCCACCGCAUGAAAGAUGCCAACACGCGGAUCACUCGUUGGUAUCUGGCGUUACAGCCUUCCGGUUCAAGGUGAUCCAUAGGCCGGGUAACCCCAUGGUCGUGGCUGACUUUCUCUCCCGCUCCGCGGAGGGGGGGGAGGAGUGGCUUUAAGCCAGCGGGAUCCCGGCCUAAGUCGGGCAGUGGCGGUAUGUGGCAGUGGGGUGUGGUUAGAGUUGCGGCUGCUGGAGGAGAGGUAGGAGUGGCUCAGCCAGUGAUCAGACAGUUCCGGACAGAAUCCGGUAAUCAGUCUGCUAUAUAAGCACACUUGUAACCUGGUUCUGGUCUCUUGCAGUAGGCUGGGUCCAGAAAGAGGAGCGAAGCAGAGACGGGCUGGAAAUGCUGGAGAAACACAGUUCACACCCUCAGCUGUCAGAGCGAAAGCGGUGUUUUUGGUGGAAUUAUUUUUGGUGGACCUUUUUUCUGUUUGGACAAUAAAGGAUUAUUUUCCACCGCAAAGCUGACUCUUCCUACCUCUGAACAAGCUGUGAGUGGUGAAGCUCACACUGACUAACUGUCUAUGUAUCGAGAGAUCGACCAACGACCUAUCUAUCUAUAUCUAUCUGAUAGACCUACCUACCUGAAAAAUUUACUACGGUUAAAAAGUUUUGGGUCUCCCACUUGACUUUUUUGUUCUAUAACUCUCAGGAUCUUUAAAGAAGUUUAAAAUGACACGCUGCAAUGGCACGCUGCGAGAGGCCUUGCUGCUGCAGCUCAACAAUCUGACCGCGUUCAAAGAGAGAAAGCUUUUUUGCCUUUGCCAUCAGGAGGUCAUGACAGUGUGGAUACCUGACAGAAAAUGAAUCCACAUUUUUGGGAAGAUUUAGGCUUUGCUUAUGAACAGCCUAUUUCAGUUAAAUGGUUGUUUGCAAUAAAUUGCUUACUCAA